UCUCCGUAGGUGAACCUGCGGAGGGAUCAUUACACAAUAACAUAUGAAGGCUGUACGCGGCUGUGCUCUCGGGCGCAGUGCUGCUGAGGCUGGAUUAUUUAUUUACCCUUGUCUUUUGCGCACCUGUUGUUUCCUGGGCGGGUUCGCCCGCCGCCAGGACCACACCAUAAACCUUUUUUUAUGCAGUUGCAAUCAGCGUCAGUACAACAAAUGUAAAUCAUUUACAACUUUCAACAACGGAUCUCUUGGUUCUGGCAUCGAUGAAGAACGCAGC
rnacentral:misc_RNA from 1 species